GCACUUUCUUCUGCCGAGAGGACGAAAUCGCUUGAUGCUAUUACUAUUAAAGAUUUCACAUCUGCGAUAACAAAUGGUGAAACUGUUCAUACCUCUGAGUCCGCUCGCUUCAGAGUUGGAGAGCUAUUGCUUGUCAAUGGUGAAUUCUAUUCUGGGUCUCUUCUUGGUAACAUCCCUGAGGGCACAGGGAAAUAUGUUUGGUCAGAUGGAUGCAUAUAUGAGGGUGAGUGGAGAAGGGGGAUGAGGCAUGGGAAUGGAAAAAUUCGGUUUCCUUCUGGAGCAGUUUACGAGGGUGAAUUUUCAGGUGGUUA
rnacentral:misc_RNA from 1 species